rnacentral:rRNA from 1 species
AGAGAGAGACAUGCGCGCAUAUCAAUAAGCGGAGGAAAAGAAACUAACAAGGACUUCCCCUAGUAACGGCGAGUGAAGCGGGAAGAGCUCAAAUUUGAAAUCUUAAAGGGUUUCCCUUUACGAAUUGUAGUUUAAAGAAGUGUUUUCUGUUGAGGUUUUGGUAAAAGUUCUUUGGAAUAGGACAUCAUAGAGGGUGAGAAUCCCGUAUUUGACCUUUACUUUCAACUUUGUGAUACACUUUCAAAGAGUCGGAUUGUUUGGGAAUGCAGUCCAAAAUGGGUGGUAAAUUUCAUCUAAAGCUAAAUAUUGGCGAGAGACCGAUAGCGAACAAGUACCGUGAGGGAAAGAUGAAAAGAACUUUGAAAAGAGAGUUAAACAGUACGUGAAAUUGUCAAAAGGGAAGCGUUUGACACCAGUGUUGUUUUUCUGAAAAUCAAUUAAAGAACUGUUUAUGCUAAGUUGUUUAGACUUUAUCAGCUAACUGUUUAGUUUUGAGCUUUUCUUUAAUGCACUUUUCAGUUAACAAGUCAACAUCAAUUUCUUUUGCUGUAAAAAAGCUUGAGGAAGGUGGCUUGAGAUUCGUCUUAAGUGUUUAUAGCCUCUUGCCUAUGCAGUCGGAGAGAUUGAGGUCUGCAGCGUAGAUCCUUCGGGGCUAAAUGCAUUUGUGCUAAGUUAUAGCAUUUUAUAGACAACUUGUUGACUAUGAUUUGUCUUGUAGCUUACUCGCUUAUGUUAUUUUACCUACGCUUAGGAUGUUGAGCGCAUGUCUCUCUCU